GACGAACGCUGGCGGCGCGCUUAACACAUGCAAGUCGAGCGAGAACCAGCCCUUCGGGGCUGGGGAAAGCGGCGAACGGGUGAGUAACACGUGGGUAAUCUGCCCUCGGCACCGGAAUAGCCCGGGGAAACCCGGAUUAAUGCCGGAUGGCCUCUCGAAUCCUUGGAUUCGUGAGAAAAGGUAGCUUCGGCCUCUGGCCGAGGAGGAGCCCGCGGCGGAUUAGCUUGUUGGUGGGGUAAUGGCCUACCAAGGCGACGAUCCGUAGCUGGUCUGAGAGGACGAUCAGCCACACUGGGACUGAGACACGGCCCAGACUCCUACGGGAGGCAGCAGUGGGGAAUCUUGCGCAAUGGGCGAAAGCCUGACGCAGCGACGCCGCGUGCGGGAAGAAGGCCUUCGGGUUGUAAACCGCUUUCAGGAGGGACGAAGCCACUCGGGUUAAUAGCCCAGAGGGUGACGGUACCUCCAGAAGAAGCCCCGGCUAACUACGUGCCAGCAGCCGCCGUAAAAC
rnacentral:rRNA from 1 species